rnacentral:tRNA from 1 species
UAGAGCAUAGUAUAACAAGUAUACCUUGAUUACAACAAGAAGGUUUAGCUCUAA